AUUGAACGCUGGCGGCAGGCUUAACACAUGCACGUCGAGCGAGCGGCGGACGGGUGAGUAAUGUCUGGGAAACAGCCUGAUGGAGGGGGAUAACUACUGGAAACGGUAGCUAAUACCGCAUACCAUCAGAUGUGCCCAGAUGGGAUUCGCUAGUAGGUGGGGUAACGGCUCACCUGGGCGACGAUCCCUAGCUGGUCUGAGAGGAUGACCCGUCACACUGGAACUGAGACACGGUCCAGACGCCUACGGGAGGCAGCAGUGGGGAAUAUUGCACAAUGGGCGCAAGCCUGAUGCAGCCAUGCCGCGUGUGUGAAGAAGGCCUUCGGGUUGUAAAGCACUUUCAGCGGGGAGGCGUUACCCGCAGAAGAAGCACCGGCUAACUCCGUGCCAGCAGCCGCGGUAAUAC
rnacentral:rRNA from 1 species